CACCCGUAUUGACGUACUAAUACAUGCAAGUCGAGCGGACAGAAGGGAGCUUGCUCCCGGAUGUUAGCGGCGGACGGGUGAGUAACACGUGGGUAACCUGCCUGUAAGACUGGGAUAACUCCGGGAAACCGGAGCUAAUACCGGAUAGUUCCUUGAACCGCAUGGUUCAAGGAUGAAAGACGGUUUCGGCUGUCACUUACAGAUGGACCCGCGGCGCAUUAGCUAGUUGGUGGGGUAAUGGCUCACCAAGGCGACGAUGCGUAGCCGACCUGAGAGGGUGAUCGGCCACACUGGGACUGAGACACGGCCCAGACUCCUACGGGAGGCAGCAGUAGGGAAUCUUCCGCAAUGGACGAAAGUCUGACGGAGCAACGCCGCGUGAGUGAUGAAGGUUUUCGGAUCGUAAAGCUCUGUUGUUAGGGAAGAACAAGUGCGAGAGUAACUGCUCGCACCUUGACGGUACCUAACCAGAAAGCCCCGGCUAACUACGUGCCAGCAGCCGCGGUAAUACGUAGAGGGCAAGCGUUGUCCGGAAUUAUUGGGCUGAAGGGUUCCGAAGGCGUUUUCUUAGUCUUAAGGUAACAGCCCCGGCUUAACCCGGGAAGGGCCUUGGAAACUGGGAAACCUGGGGUGGAGAAAAAGGCCAGCGGAAUUUCCCCCGUGUAGCGGGGAAACCGUGUGGAAAAUGUGAAGGAAAACCCGUGUUUAAACGCUGAGACUCUGGUCUGUAACUGACCGUUGAGGAGUUGAAAUCCCCGGUUUCCCGGGAAAGGAUCAGAUUUCCCUGGGGAGUCUACCGCCCGUAGAUGAUGUAGUGCUAAGUGUUUAGGGAGUUUUCCGCCCCUUUACUGUUUGCAGCUUAAUGCAUUUUGGCAGUGCUGUCGGGCAGCAGCCCCGGGGCGCCAGGACUGGAGACCUCAAAUUGAAAUUUUGUCCCGGAAAA
rnacentral:rRNA from 1 species